rnacentral:tRNA from 1 species
GAGGAUAUAGCUCAGUGGUAGAGUAACGUGCUUAGCAUUCAUGAGGUCCUGGGUUCAAUCCCCAGUGCCGCCA